GUGAGAUCGAUUCCAAGGGCCUCCGGUUUUUUGUUUUCGAGAUCUUAAGAGAUUCAAAUUUGCUAUAUUUUUUUCAAGGAGAAGAUAGGGAUGGAGAGUGACUAACAGUUUUUUCAGUUUGCUGCUACAUCUUUUGGGAGGAUGGAUCUGAUGAAGCAAGCUCUGCAUACAUGUUCGAUAUCGCGUUGGCAAAGUAUUCCUUGGCUUGGGGUCUCUUGAUCUUAAAUGUAGGAGUGAGAAGACCAUUCUCCAAUGUGAAAGGCUCAUGGACCAAAGUCACAGCUUUUGCAAAUUCGAAACCU
rnacentral:misc_RNA from 1 species